rnacentral:rRNA from 1 species
AGUUGACGUAUCUAGUGCGUAUUCAGCUGAACAUUCUUGUGUUCUGGGGGAUAGAAGUUCUGUAAAGUCUUUUACCUCUAUUUUCACUCGACUGUUUAGUGCAUUUGCGUACAGAGUGCGCCGAAUCGGUUGAAUUUGCUGUUUGAAGGCUGUAAAGAGGACCAAUUUAUUGGAAACUUUUAUUGCCGGAAAACAGAUAAAUCUGGCUGUCAAAAUGGACUGGUUUUUCGCGGUAGUGGCUGUGAGUUGGGGUUAUUCUUGUACGAUGCAUGCGUUUUGCAUUUACGGCCUCACUUCAUGAACAUUACUGCUCAGUCCUUCAUUCGGUGUUUAGUCAAUGACUAUUUGACCCGUCUUGAAACACGGACCAAGGAGUUUAAGGUGUACGCAAGUCAUUGAUUGUUGAAAGUCAUAGGCGUAAUGAAAGUGGGACAUUUAAUGUCUGCGAUGUGAGCCCGGGAUGUUUCGACAAACCGAGCGCAACAUCGACCCAUGACUAGGAUUUAUUCUGUUGUGGAGUCUGAGCGUACGCUUUGAGACCCGAAAGAUGGUGAACUAUGCCCGAACAGGACGAAGUCAGAGGAAACUCUGAUGGAAGCCG